rnacentral:rRNA from 1 species
AGAGCGAACGCUGGCGGCAGGCCUAAUACAUGCAAGUCGAACGCACCUUCGGGUGAGUGGCGGACGGGUGAGUAACACGUGGGAACGUGCCCUUUGGUUCGGAAUAAUCCGGGGAAACCUGGCCUAAUACCGGAUGAGCCCUUCGGGGGAAAGAUUUAUCGCCAUUGGAGCGGCCCGCGUCUGAUUAGCUAGUUGGUGGGGUAAAGGCCCACCAAGGCUACGAUCAGUAGCUGGUCUGAGAGGAUGAUCAGCCACACUGGGACUGAGACACGGCCCAGACUCCUACGGGAGGCAGCAGUAGGGAAUCUUGCGCAAUGGGGGAAACCCUGACGCAGCCAUGCCGCGUGAAUGAUGAAGGUCUUAGGAUUGUAAAAUUCUUUCAGCGGGAAGAUAAUGACUGUACCCGCAGAAGAAGCUCCGGCUAACUUCGCGCCAGCAGCCGC